GAUGGUACAGGCGGAGAUGGCACUGGGUUGCAACACGAUGAGCACAUUGUGCAUGCGAUCUCGUCCAGUGUUCUUGAUUUUGGAAUGGGUAAGGGAUUGAUGGAAGGCAGCACGAUGAGGAGCGCUAGCAGAAAGAAAGUGACCGAGUGAAUUCUUUCCAUUCUGGGAACAGUAGAAGAAACGAGUCUAGAGAUUUCAAGAAUGUUGUUUAAUGCAGAACAAGAACAAGAAAAGAAAACAAAGAUCAAAUGGAUGGAAUUCUUGAGAAAAUUGAAAGACCAGUAGCUCAGAGAAAACAAGAGAAGCAGGGACUAUUGGGCUAGGGUGGUACACAGAGUCUCUUAUCUUUGAAGGAAGCCACACCAUUAAUCAACCAUCAAUAAUCAUCAUCAUGCUUUUAAAAAUUUAUUAAAAGAAAAAGGUUUAAAAAGGGUUAAGAGCCUAAAAUUCUAAAAGAUGACGCCGACAUGUUUCACUUUUACUUUACCAGAGAAGAGAAGGGCUUGAAUGCACGAACAGAACGCAUCGUUUAGGAUUAACUAUGUAGAUUCAGGAAAAUCGAGGGGUACAAUAG
rnacentral:misc_RNA from 1 species